rnacentral:rRNA from 1 species
UUAAAAUAAAAUUAAAUCCAAAAUAAAAUAAUAAAAAAAAUUUUAAUAUAAAAAAGAAAUAAUGGGGGUUAAAGUAUUUUUUAGAAAAAAUUUAAAAAUUUAUAGUGAAUUAGUAUUGUAAAAGAAUUUUGAAAAAAUUGAAAAUUAAUUAAUUUAUAAGUAAAUUUAAUUUAUUGUAUCUUGUGUAUCAGAGUUUAUUAAUUAAUAUUUAUAUAUUAGUAAAUAUCUCGAAUUUAAAAGAGAUAAUUAAUUAAAAAAGUUAAUGUUGCAUAAUUAUUUUUAAUAAUUAAUUUGAAAUGAAAUGUUAAUCGUUUUUAAAUAUAUCUAGUUUUUUUAGAAAAAAAUUUAAUUUUAAAUUAAUUUUGUUAAUUUAUUAAUUUUUUAAUAAAUAAUAAAUUUAAUUAAAUAUUUUAAGGGAUAAGCUUUAAAUUAAAUUUUUAUAAUUAAAAUUAAAUUCAAAAUAAAAUUUUUAAAAUUUAUAUUUUUUAUAAAUUAUAAUUUUUUAUAAAUAAUUUUAUUUAAUUUAAAAUUUAAUAUUAAAAUUUAAAUUUUUAUAAAAAAAUAAUUUUUAAUAAAAUUAAGUUAGAUAUAAUGAUAAAAUUAGUAUAAUUUUUAUAAAAAAAAAUAAAAAAAUUUAUAAUUAAAUAAAAGGAAUUCGGCAAAAAUUUAUAUUCACUUGUUUAUCAAAAACAUGUCUUUUUGAAAAUAAUAUAAAGUCUAAUCUGCCCACUGAAUUAAUUUAAAGGGCUGCAGUAUAUUGACUGUACAAAGGUAGCAUAAUCAAUAGUCUUUUAAUUGAAGACUUGUAUGAAUGAUUUGAUGAAAUAUAAACUGUCUCUUUUUUAAAAUUAAAAUUUAAUUUUUUAGUUAAAAAGCUAAAAUAAAUAUAAAAGACGAGAAGACCCUAUAGAGUUUUAUAAUUAUUUUUAUUUAUUUUAUAUAUUAAUAUUAAAAAUUAAAUGUAAAUAAUUAUUUUGUUGGGGUGAUAGAAAAAUUUAAUUAACUUUUUUUUAAAUUUAACAUUAAUAUAUGAAUAUAUGAUCCAUAUUUUAUGAUUAAAAGAAUAAAUUACCUUAGGGAUAACAGCGUAAUUUUUUUUUUUAGUUCAUAUAAAAAAAAAAGUUUGCGACCUCGAUGUUGGAUUAAGAUAAAAUUUAAAUGCAAAAGUUUAAAAUUUUUGAUCUGUUCGAUCAUUAAAAUCUUACAUGAUCUGAGUUCAAACCGGUGUAAGCCAGGUUGGUUUCUAUCUUUAUAUAAUAAGAAUAAUUUAGUACGAAAGGAUCAAUUAUUUUAAAUAAUUUAAUUUUAUGAAUAUUAUUAAUUUAAUUAUAA